UACGUAGGGGGCUAGCGUUGUCCGGAUUUAUUGGGCGUAAAGAGCGUGUAGGCGGCCAGGUAGGUCUGCUGUGAAAACUCGAGGCUCAACCUCGAGACGUCGGCGGAAACCAUCUGGCUAGAGUCCGGAAGAGGAGAGUGGAAUUCCUGGUGUAGCGGUGAAAUGCGCAGAUAUCAGGAGGAACACCAAUGGCGAAGGCAGCUCGCUGGGACGGUGACUGACGCUGGAGACGCGAAAGCGUGGGGAGCAAACAGG
rnacentral:rRNA from 1 species